GAUGAACGCUGGCGGCGUGCCUAAUACAUGCAAGUCGAGCGAACAGACGAGGAGCUUGCUCCUCUGACGUUAGCGGCGGACGGGUGAGUAACACGUGGAUAACCUACCUAUAAGACUGGGAUAACUUCGGGAAACCGGAGCUAAUACCGGAUAAUAUAUUGAACCGCAUGGUUCAAUAGUGAAAGACGGUUUUGCUGUCACUUAUGGAUGGAUCCGCGCCGCAUUAGCUAGUUGGUAAGGUAACGGCUUACCAAGGCAACGAUGCGUAGCCGACCUGAGAGGGUGAUCGGCCACACUGGAACGGAGACACGGUCCAGACUACUACGGGAGGCAGCAGUAGGGAAUCUUCCGCAAUGGGCGGAAGCCUGACGGAGCAACGCCGCGUGAGUGAUGAAGGUCUUCGGAUCGUAAAACUCUGUUAUUAGGGAAGAACAAAUGUGUAAGUAACUAUGCACGUCUUGACGGUACCUAAUCAGAAAGCCACGGCUAACUACGUG
rnacentral:rRNA from 1 species